UAAAAUAAAUAGUAAAGUUGAGAAUAGCAAAUAAUUGAUUUUAUAUGAUAUUAAUAGGUACAGUGGAGUUGCCCAACUGUACUUAGGGAUUCGUGAGCGAAUCAAUAUGAAUAAGACUACUAGGAGCAGGGAGCUUGGUGUUAUUCAGGGUUGGGGUAACUGAAAAUGUUAUGUAAUAAUCAAAUUUUAGAAGCUCUGUACUGUUCCAACUUCAUGAAUAAUGUUAUAACAUUAGUAGAUGAAACUAUUUAUUUUUGGUUAUGAAAUUUUAAGUGGCUUCGUGUUAUUGUGUGUAUAAGAUUGCAAUAGCACGGCCGUGUCAUGAUCCGGAUUUGGGGCGUGACAUUUAGUGGUAUCAGAGCUUAGGUUUAAGAUCAUUGGGAUUAUGACAAUUAAACUAUCAGAAGCUAGGUUUAAGAUCACUUAGGAUUGCGAUAUGAAUGAUACAAGAACUUAAGGUUUAAGACUACUAAGGACUGUGGCACAAGUGGCUUUAAGUUGGAAGUUUAAGAUCAUUGAGGAUUGUAACAAAAUUGGAAUCGGAACAAAGGUUUAAGAGCAAUAGGGAAUGUGACAGGAAUAUAUGAGAGCUUAAAGUUUAAGAUCACUAGUGAUUGUGAUAGAAAUAUAGCAAUUUUUUAAAUUAUGAUUAAAUUAGAUUUUGACUAAUAUUAAGUGGAGUACUAGCCAUGGAAUAUUAAAGUACAUUGUGAUUGUUUGUGUAUUUAUAUAUAAGUGAUUUUGGAAGAUCAACUUGAUAUCGGGUACUGUGGAUAAUACUUCUAGUUUGUAGUUAAUUAUUUUGAUGUGAAGAUAGGGUUCAUUCAUAAGUUGUUUAAGGCUUGGACAAGAAAAGAUUUUAUAUUCUUCGAGAAUGAAAUAUGUAUGACAAUUAUGCAUGAAACUGUUAUAUAGAAAGAAAAUAUAUUUGAGGAUGAGACUUAAGAGUUUUUCCUUUGUUUACUUGGAAUAUGAAAUAUUAGAUGUUUUCCAAUUACAAUGCGAAUUGGUAUUUUGAUUGAAAGUCAUUUAGUAAAUUUUGAGAAUAAUUAUCAAUCUUGAAAAAUAUUUGAGGCUCAAAUGUUCGACUAUGGAUAAAGUGUACUAGUUUAUGAUCCUGCAAUAAAUCAAUUAAAUGAAUAUUAGUUAAUGUUUUGACAAAAAAAAAUAUAUAAGUCAAGGCUAUGAGUUGAUUUUGGAUUUUGUAUCACCAUUGAUGAAAUACUAAUGUGAUUUCGUGGGAGGCCUAAAUAAGUUUAACCAAAAAAAAAAAAGAUUCGGGAUGGUUGAAUGUGCUUAUGAGUAAGUUAAUUUGAAAUCUUUUAAUUCAUCGGAGUAUAGAAUUAAUAUUCUAAAAAAAAAAGAAAUCAAUAUCAAAUUGUAGAAUGGAAUUAUCAAGGAAAUUUAGAGUUGGCUUAGCUCGAAUUGGAUUUAGAAUAUGAUUACAUGAUAAUUCAAUGAUGCAAAUAUGGCAAUUAUCUCGAGGAUUAACCUUGAUCUAGUAUGCAUCGGAAG